CAGUAGCCACGGGAACACCAGCACCUCGAGUGGUCAGGAGGUUUAUUGGGCCUAAAGCAUCCGUAGCCGGUUGCAUAAGUUUUCGGUUAAAUCUAUGCGCUUAACGUAUAGGCCGCCGAAAAUACUGUGCAGCUAGGGAGUGGGAGAGGUACACGGUACUCGAUAGGAAGGGGUAAAAUCCUUUGAUCUAUUGAUGACCACCUGUGGCGAAGGCGGUGUACCAGAACACGUUCGACGGUGAGGGAUGAAAGCUGGGGGAGCAAACCGGAUUAGAUACCCGCGUAGUCCCUGUCUCUUAUAC
rnacentral:rRNA from 1 species